CCAGCCCACCUACGCGGCAGCCUGUUGCUGAGCGAAAAGAAAAGGCAGGCGGGGAUGUUCGCGGCGCAGAACAGGAAGCAGCCCGGCCCCUCGGAACCGGUCCCGGGAGGGCUGUGCUUCCCCACGCAACCCAGUCUGCCACGUCAAACUUCCUCACUGACGGCACCAAGUUAGAGAAACCUGACUCAGCUGCAGGCGGCGACAUGGCAGAAAGCCACUUGACCCCGGCAGGCCGGGACCCAAAGCCGGGGCGCGCGGCUCCCAGAACGACCCCUCACCCCAGGCCACGGUCUCCCGGCAACUGUAGCCAUGGUGCGCUUCUCCCCUUGGUGCAAGUUUGGAUUUGGCCCAGUCACUCUCACUCCCAGGAUGUCCCGACGCUUAAAGACACAGUUGCCGUUUUUACUGUGAAUAUUUGGAAUAUCCCCUUCCUCCAAGAAAAUGAAAAUUUAAGUGGAUUGCGGAGACAGUGACACCGGCACCCGUGGCGACCUGGCGGUUCCGGCAUCCCCCGGCGUUAAGUGGGGGCGGGUUGCCGCUGUUCAUUCAUUACGUUAUUACUUGAAUAACUGCCGAUACACACAGGUCCAUGACGUAUUCGUGCAGCACCAGGCAGCCUGGCGACAUGUGAGGUAGGAGGGAGAACGGAUACCCCUGCCGAGAAGUGGGGGCCGAGGUAGCAGCGUCUCCAGGGAAGCUGGGAUGCUAACGUGCUGUAUCCUCCCGGUGCAUAGCCCAGGGUGGCUGAUCACAAACCCAAACAGCCUGUAGCUCACUGCCCUGUGAGAAACCCUUGAGAAAUGAAGGCAAUCCCUGUGAAACCUGGGACUUGGCCUCUGCAUCUCAAUCAGGACCAUCUGGCUGGUUUCCCACCCACUUGGCUCAAACAUUUUUUUUAAAGAUUUAUUUUAUUAAUUUUAAAUAGAGAGGUAGAGAGGUCUUCCAUCCUCUGGUUCACUCCCCAAGGCCACAAAGGCAGGAGCAGAGACCAUCUGAAGCCAGAAGCGAGGAGCUUCUUCCAGUUUCCCACAUGGGUGCAGGGGCCCAAGGACUUGGGCCAUCUUCUACUGCUUUCCCAGGCCAUAGCAGAGAGCUGGAUCUGAAGAGGAGCAGCUAGGACUAGAACCAGUGUCCAUAUGAGAGGUUUGUGCUUUAGGCCAGGGCUUUAACCUGCUGCGCCACAGCGCCGGCCCCCAAACUUAUGAAAUAAAACCAGCCCAAUGUUUUUUUUUUUUUUUCUUUUCAAAAUGUACUUUCUUCUUGGCUACCAGAACUACAUAAAUAAAAGCUACUUACCAUUGAACUGCCAGGUAAAAAACUUAUCCAGAGAUCUUGCCACUGCUAGGAAUGCUACAUGAAUUGUGUGUGAAUUUUCAGGCAUUUCAGCACUGCAGAGUUUUGGUCCCUUUCCCCACUCAUAAAUUUCGGCUCUGGUCAGGUUUGAAAAUGUUGUUUUAAGUCAUUCUUAUAUUCUCAACAUGGUAAAAAUGUUUGCUAGAGGUUUAGAAAGUUUUGGCCUGUGCUGAAGGAGUUUUUCUAUCACAGCUGUAUCCAAAGAGAAGCGUGACAGUAAUGACAAGCACAGGACAUGAUAGAAACAGUCACAGUGUAUGAUGAGGUGGUUGGCUUGUGCCUCUCUAACACUGUUAAAUUUGAGUUGCUCAGGGACCAAACUUGUCUGGAAAAAGAAUGUGGCUUCAGUUUUGAGACAGUUUGGAAGCUGGAAGGGACUUUUCAGGUGUUAAGUGUUCAACUCCAUAAUAGACUCCAUAAUAGACUGAAUGCAGUCUAUUUAAUAGGUUAAGAAACAGGGUAAUUCAGAAAAUGGCUUAGUAGUCUUAAACCUAGCUGGAAGCCAUGCCUUCUGAUUCUAAUUCCAAAGCUCCUCACUUCUAUUUUUUUCUUUUAUACUAUUAUGAUUUGCUAUCUUUAUUCACCAUUUCUGCCCUUUUUCUCCUGAGAGUGACAUAGACAAGUUCUCAAAUAACUAAAAAUUAACUGUCCUCGCAAUUCCACUGGUGAUUGGCUAGUGAAUCAGAAAUGUCUUUUCCUUAGGAUGUGGCCUUCUAGGUUCAGUCUAGCUUCCCGUCUUCUGACCCAGGAGCCCACCCCUUCAGUAACUCCUAACCUGGUUCCCGUGGUUCCGUCUCUGGCCUUCACCAAUCUCAAGCAGCAGCCUGGAAUCCCAGCCUUCCUUGGCCUGAUCCGUGUUGUUGCCACCUGAGCUGAGCUUCUGAAGUUCCACAUGUAAUUAAUUUGAUCUCCCGGGAAACCAUACCCUAAUGGAAAACUGACAUCACAAGGAAUGUCCAUGUGCUAAGGUUCUGUGUUCUUUAGGGUUCUUUCUGUUCCUGAGAUUCUUUCUGUUCCAGCAUAGGAAAGGAAAACAGUUAACCAUGCAAAUGACUAUAUAGAAUUCUAUGGAAGAGAUGUCUUGACAGAGCUCUUGGCUCCUUCUAAUUGAAAGCCUUUAAGAUCAGAGCUACAGGGGCCGGCGUUGUGGUGUAGCAGACAUCUCUUGAAUAUGCGACAUAACAGAAGACCACUGGAUUAUCACAACCACUUCCAUAAUUAACCUGAUACGAUGCCCUGCUCUCCUUCAAGCACAGAAGAAAAUCUAGCUUCACACAAAUAUGUACUAUGGAAAAAGAGGGACUUUGCCAAAUGACACUUUCUUGAUGGAGCUCAGUAUACACAAGCACUUCAGGACUGCAAAGAGAGUUAUUGAAGAGCAAUCUGGAAGAAAGAGAAUACCAAGGUUCUGAAAGCACAAGUGACUCAUGCAAGGCGGUACAGACAAUAGCAGAGCUAGGCUUGGAAUUCGCACGAAUGUUCUGUCUCUCCACCUACCUAUGCUGCCCAUUGAAACUAACAAGCAGUCACCAACUGAUCAGAAUAUAUUUAUGACAUAAAUCCAUGACGACCACCACUGCAACACAGAGAACAGGACUCUGCUCAGAUGUCACCUCCUCAUGCCAAAAAGGCUUUCCUGGGAGUAGCCAACCUUCCUCCAUAAACCCCAUACACGCAGCUUUAUUUUUCUUCCUAGCACUUGCCAACAGCUGGUAAAACAGAGUGAUUUUUGUUUAUUGUUUCUCCUGUGUGUUAGAAUAUGAGCUUCUGCAGGGCCUGGGUGUUGUCUGAAUUGUUCAGUUCUAUAUGUCUUGUACCUAGAACAGUGCCUGUUGUAAAUAAUGAAACUGUGUUAGAUGAAUGGACAAAGCAGAGUAGCUAGCCCGCCUGUGAUCUGCUGAUAGCACACACUGUUUGGUCAGGUAAAUAUUAUUGCAGGGCAACAAAAUGCAGCAAUGCGUUUAUACUUUUGCAUAUUCAGUUACAAGUGGUUCUCAACUUUUUUUUUUUUUUUUUUUUUUAAGAUUUAUUUAUCGGGGCUGGUGCUGUGGCUCAGUGGGUUAAAGCCCUGGCCUGAAGCACCAGCAUCCCAUAUAGGUGCUGGUUCGAGUCCCAGCUGCUCCACUUUUGAUCCAGCUCUCUGCUAUGGCCUAGGAAAGCAGUGGAGGAUCGCCCAAGUCCUUGGGCCCCUGCACCCAUGUGGGAGACUGAGAAGAAGCUUCUGGCUCCUGGCUUCAGAUCGGCACAGCUCCAGCCAUUGCAGCCAUUUGGGGAGUAAGCCAGCAGAUGGAAGACCUCUUUCUCU